GCAGCCGCCACGGGAAUACAGAGGGUGCGAGCGUUAAUCGGAUUUACUGGGCGUAAAGCGUGCGUAGGCGGCUUCUUAAGUCGGAUGUGAAAUCCCUGAGCUUAACUUAGGAAUUGCAUUCGAUACUGGGAAGCUAGAGUAUGGGAGAGGAUGGUAGAAUUCCAGGUGUAGCGGUGAAAUGCGUAGAGAUCUGGAGGAAUACCGAUGGCGAAGGCAGCCAUCUGGCCUAAUACUGACGCUGAGGUACGAAAGCAUGGGGAGCAAACAGGAUUAGAUACCCGCGUAGUCCCUGUCUCUUAUAC
rnacentral:rRNA from 1 species